rnacentral:tRNA from 1 species
GCUCGGGUGCUGUAAUUGGUAGCCAGGAUCGACUUAAAAUCGAUUGCCGUAAGGCGUGUGGGUUCGAUUCCCACCCCGAGCA